rnacentral:rRNA from 1 species
AGAGUUUGAUCCUGGCUCAGGACGAACGCUGGCGGCGUGCCUAAUACAUGCAAGUCGAGCGGGACUCUUCGGAGUCCAGCGGCGGACGGGUGAGUAACACGUGGGCAACCUGCCUGUAAGACUGGGAUAACACCGGGAAACCGGUGCUAAUACCGCAUAAUGUCUACGGACCAAAUGCGUAAGCAGCUUGAGGAGGGGGU